GCCAGAUGAUGAUAGAAAACUCUCCUGAGCAACAUUGUUUUCAAAAUUAUCAACCAGAGUAAAUUGUUUUGAAUCUUGAAUGCUGUACUGAGAUUGUGCAGUGUUUGUAAGGCGAAACAUAGAGUAGAUAUGUCAACUGCAGACAUUUCUGUUCCUGAGUUGUGGGAACAGAGUCUCUGUGUGUGGCAAACAGGGGUGAAUUUUUGUGAAGUCCAUUAUACUGAUAUGAAACAGUGUUUGAAGAUUCUUUAGUAAUCUGAUGGCA